CCUACGGGAGGCAGCAGUGAGGAAUAUUGGUCAAUGGGCGCGAGCCUGAACCAGCCAAGUAGCGUGAAGGAUGACUGCUCUAUGGGUUGUAAACUUCUUUUAUAAAGGAAUAAAGUGAGGCACGCGUGCCUCUUCGCAUGUACCUUAUGAAUAAGGAUCGGCUAACUCCGUGCCAGCAGCCGCGGUAAUACGGAGGAUCCGAGCGUUAUCCGGAUUUACUGGGUGUAAAGGGAGCGUAGACGGUGUGGCAAGUCUGAAGUGAAAGUCCGGGGCUCAACCCCGGAAUUGCUUUGGAAACUGUGGUGCUGGAGUGCUGGAGAGGUAGGCGGAAUGCCUGGUGUAGCGGUGAAAUGCAUAGAUAUUAGGCAGAACACCGAUGGCGAAGGCGGCUUACUGAGCAAUGACUGACGUUGAGGCUCGAAAGCGUGGGGAGCGAACAGGAUUAGAUACCCGAGUAGUC
rnacentral:rRNA from 1 species